CAGGAAAGCAGACCAAGAGGCCUAGAGCUCUAUGGAAACUUCUGGGUCACCUGUCCAAAUUGCCUCACUUUACACAGGAAGAAAUAGAAAGCCUGAGAGGGGGAUAGUAACCUGCACAAGGUCAUACAGCUAAUUAUAGCCCUGGAACUAGUCAAAGCUCUCAGAUCCCAACUGCUGGUUUCAUGUUCUUUAAAAUUAAUAAUACUUCCCAAAUUGGCUUGGGAACCAGGUAUUCUCCCAGACUUAAUUAUCACAUUUGGAGUGCCAACAGGUCAGUUAAUGUGUACAGACAGCCUAACAACUGUGAUUCCUAGCACCCUCUGCCCCUUUUUCCUCCCCUCUACCACCAGAAUGCCAGAACCAAGGAGAAGGAUGGAUAGGACUAUGGUACAGGGUCCUGUUACAACACCAGUUGGCUUGUUGGGGUGGAGGAUGAGUCCUGCUUCCAGUGCUUGACGUCCAAGGUUCACACCUCUGGGUGAGCUCCAGAACUGCCCUGGACUUGACAACAGAUGCAAAAACUGAGGUUUACAGAAGGUGUGUGAGUGGUCCAUGGCUACACAGCUCAGAAGUGUCUGGAGGAUGAAAGGCCAUGACUCCUGACUUUCAGCCCAGUGACCCAGCUCUGGCCUAGCUUGUGCUGCCUCCCGUACUACCGGUGAAUUACAAAUUGUGUUUUAAAAACGCUUUCUGGUUAGCAAUGGGGACUGGACAUGGGGUUUCACUGGGAUAGGGACCUUCUAAGGAAAGAAACUCCCUCUACUAAUGCAGGUAUGCACCUUUUUUGUAACUUAGACUCUUAGAGAGUUGUCUAGAGCAGAGGUUUCAAAUUCCUGAGGAUUGGGAACCAAAUUAAAAUAUAA